rnacentral:rRNA from 1 species
UGGGGGAUAUUGCACAAUGGGGGAAACCCGUGAUGCAGCGACGCCGCGUGAGUGAAGAAGUAUUUCGGUAUGUAAAGCUCUGUCAGCAGGGAAGAAAAUGACAGUACCUGACCAAGAAGCCCCGGCUAACUACGUGCC